rnacentral:rRNA from 1 species
CCUACGGGAGGCAGCAGUGGGGAAUUUUGGACAAUGGGGGCAACCCUGAUCCAGCAAUGCCGCGUGAGUGAAGAAGGCCUUCGGGUUGUAAAGCUCUUUUGUCAGGGAAGAAACGGUGAGGGCUAAUAUCCUUUGCUAAUGACGGUACCUGAAGAAUAAGCACCGGCUAACUACGUGCCAGCAGCCGCGGUAAU